UCUUGCGUGCGCGCGCAGAAUCGCGGUUACAAUCCUUUUCCAGAGCGACCGCGCUCUUCUUUCGGAAAGGCGCGAUGGGGUAUUUCCGUGGCUACGCCGCCCUCAUAAAACAUGCGCCUGUGAAGUUUCCAUGCGAUGCGCCGAGUGGCGUGAGCGCGCCGCUGCAUGGAAGCUACCCGUGGUACGCUGUGCGCCACGUCUGCACUACUGCGGCUGCUGCAAGCGGCAAUGCUGUAAGCGGCGGCGGCGAUGGCCACCCGACGCGCUCCACGUCGUCAGCUGCGGCAGGCGUUUCAGAGCUGCCCAACAAGUUCAUCUACGCGCCGCGACUCCGCUACACGGCCCCGUGGCGUAGCAGGCAGAUAACUGACUUUCUCGUCUGCAAGGACGACGUUGCCCUCUCGAUCGCGCACACAUACCGCAACCCGGACACGGACAUCACCGUCACCCUUAUCCCACUCCGACAUUUCGCUCACCCCGAAUUCUUCAAGCAGGUGGAUGACUUGUGCAACCAGCACGAGUCGGUAUUGAUGGAGGGCCGCACGCCGCUCAGUGGUGCUCCCUACUCCACGGUGGUGCCGCCGCGGGAGCGAGUCAAGUGCACGCGUCCGAUGGACCACGAGGAUGACGAGGGCUGGGAACCGCGCGAGGUCGAGAGCUUCUUUCAGCCCUUCUCGUGGGGCGUCAAGGACUCGCCAAAUCACACAGUGGUACACGCAGCGGACAAGUACGACUACGAGAAGCUGCCUUGGUGGUGCUCUGUGCGCUUUAACGCGCCUGUGCUCGGCAGUUUUGCUCGGGAGCAGCACUGUCUUAACAUGAUCUACCCUCUCCGCGAGAAUAUGUACAAGUCCUUUGCCAUCCCCUGGGGGGCCGCCCACAUGCCAGUCUUCCACGAGAUGCUGCUCGACAACGGGUUCGAAAAUGUGGGCAUGUGCUCCCUCCUCGUGCUGAACCGAACGGAUGGCAUUAUCAGUGAGGGCGAGUUUAUUAAGAUGCAGCACUGGCAGCGCAAGCGCGCUCGUCGUGCUUGGUACCUGUACGGCAUCGGCCUCGUCUCCUUGUGGCGGCUCGUCUACGCGCACCUCACUAUCGAAUACCACAGUGGACCACGGGAGAUGUAAUCGCCGUGGCGUUUUCUUUUUCGUUUGCGUAGCUCUAGUCGAGCAUAACACCGCUACCAUCAAAAUCUCUUCCUCCUCCCUUGAGGUGCUGAGGGUCGGGCUCUGGACAGGCGCGUACCGGUGGAAGGCAUCCCGUAUGCUUACGCAGACACAGACACCCGGGCUGUGGCCCUCCUCCCCCUCCACUGCCGACUUCGCCAGUCGGCUUCUACCGUCCUCGGAGGGGACGCCGCUUUCCUUACUUGUCCUCUUCCCGGGUUGUCCUAAAACACUGUCGCGCAGAAGGCACAUACCCACACGCACAUGGAUGCGCACGCAUACGUGUUGCAUCCCACCCUUCUCUUCGGCGCUGCCCCCCCCCCCCCCCCCCCUCCCCCCUCGAAAUCGAGGAGAGCGAGCGAGGGAGGCCAAAGCAGGGCAGCGAAACCAUAGCAAACCCCUCCCUCACCAUUGAACCGUACACCAGCACGGAUGUGCGUUGCUUGCGUCUUGCAUGAGAGGAAAAGGACGGGAAGAGUGCGCAGCGCCCUGGAAAGCUUACUGAUGCUGUUCGCCCUGUGUGUGUGUGCGUGUGCGCGCUCACACCCCCUCUCUCUUUUGCUUGGCGACGUCUUUUUCCACUCAUGUGUUCGACGGCUUGUCUCCCGUUGUGGUCUUCGUUGGUGGGCGGCCCAACACUUGGAAACUCGGAGAAGAGGGCGGAAGAGAAACGAGAAAACCACUGGAGGAGCACACCAGCAGAGGAACACAGAAUGCUGCGCUUCACACGCGCUAAGGCACCCACACACAGGCACAGAUACGCAUGGAAGCAACGCUGCGCCCUUUUCAGUAGAGCGUUACGGCUGCCAAGGGUGAAUGCCAUGUGUGCGUGCGUGUGAUGACACCAGUGGCUGCGGUUGUUUGUCUCAGCCAGCAUACGCACUUCCUCUUCUUCUCCCUGCCCCCUCUCUCUUUAUUGAUGCUUGUGGCAG
rnacentral:misc_RNA from 1 species